AGAGGGCCCCUCCUGCCCGCCACGUUUCCUUCCUGCUGGGGGGCUUCUGUUCUCCCAGACCGGGUCGGUGCUCUUUUCCCCCGGCGCCCCUCCCCCACCCAGCCCGGGCCUUGCCUGCCGCAGCCACCUUCUUCUCUGAUGCUGUGUCCUGGACUUGGUGACAAUGGCAAAUUGACAAGAAGGCGAGCCUGGGCCUUUCCUGCGGCGACAUCCAGCUUCCCCCGCCCCUCCCUGGGUGGGUGCCCACCACACGCCCAGCCUGCCGCGUGCUUAUCCAGGCCCUCCAGGCCAGGCCUCCGGGUCUUAUGGAAGAAGGCCCCGUGUCUGGGCAGUGCCGUGGCUGUGAGUGAGCAUCCGGGGCCAGUCAGAUGUGCCGUCUCCGGAGGUCACUUCCAUAGUGGCCAUCAACAGCUUGGCCAAACUCGGCCGCAGGAUCUUUUCCUAUCAAUUGCAGGAUGGACUCUUCCCGCAGCCAUGCGACCUGUGGCCCGCGGUCCUGCUCCCUGAGCUGGAGGAGGCUGAACAGAAUGAGCAGGUUGAGGCCUGUGGGAAGGAAGAGCCACAUCUCCUUCAUGUUUAUUACCCCCUCCGCAGGCCAUAGCUAGGAGGCCUUGAAGGUUUUUUUAAGGGGGAAAGGGGGUUUCCAGAACCACAGCCGGCUCAGCAGAAAGUCUCCACCAACAGAAUCUGUGGGCGCACAUUCCUCAACAGCUGAAGAAGGGGCUGGAGGGGCUCAUGGCAUCCCCUCCAGAGGCAGGCCCAGGGCCCUGUGUGCAGUGGGGGGUCCUGCAUCUGCAUUGUUGUUAAGAAAGUGACAUUUGGCUACAUGGAGUGACUCAUGCCUGUAAUCCCAGCACUUUGGGAGGCUGAAGCUGUCAGAUUGCUUGGGCCCAGGAGUUCGAGAUCAGCCUGGGCAACUUGGUGAAACCUCAUUUCUUUUUUUUUGAGACAGGGUCUCACUCUGUAGCCAAGACUGGAGUGCAGUGGCACAAUCUCGGCUCACCGCAACCUCCACUUCCCAGGCUCAAGUGAUUCUCCUGACUCAGCCUCCCGAGUAGCUGGGAUUACAGGUGUGCACCACCACGCCUGACUAAUUUUUGUAUUGUUAGUAGAGACGGGGUUUCACCAUGUUGGCCAGGUUGGUGUUGAACUCCUGACUUCAAAUGAUCCACCUGCCUUGGCCUCCCAAAGUGCUGGGAUUACAGGCCUGAGCCACUGCGCCCGGACUUUUUUUUUUUUUUGAGAUGGAGUUUCGCUCUGUCACCCAGGCUGGAGUGUGGUGGCAUGAUCUCGGCUCACUGCAACCUCCACCUCCCAGGGUCAAGUGAUUCUCCUGGGUCAGCCUCCGGAGUAGCUGGGAUUACAGGUACGUACCAUCAUGCCUGGCUAAUUUUUGUAUUUUUAGUAGAGACAGGGUUUCACCACGUCUGCCACGCUGGUCUUGGACUCCUGACCUCAAGUGAUCUGCCCACCUCGGCCUCCCAAAGUGCUGGAAUUACAGGUGUGAGCCACCAUGCCCAGCCCUCAUUUCUACAAAACAUACAAAAAUUAGCCAGGCUUGGCACACACCUGUAGUCCCAAGUACUCAAGAGGAUGAAGUGGGAGGUUCACUUGAGCCUGGGGAGGUAGAGGCUGCAGUGAACCAUGUUCUUGCCACUGCACUCCAGCCUGUGUGACAGUGAGGCCCUGUCUCAAAAAAAAAAAAAAGGCAACACUUCUUGAGGCUGCUGGUUUUUCAGCCCUGCUGUGCUGCAUGCUUUUGGCGCUCACUCUAAUUCACAGGGCCUCGAGGGCGAGACUUCGGCUCACAGCUGUAUCCCAGGGCCUAGAACUGUGUCUGACAUAUACCAGGUACUCAAUAAACCCUUGUCACACAAACCCCCAAGAACAUUUCACAAUGCUUUUCUUUUUUCUUUUUUUUUUUUUUUUUUUUUUUUUUUUUGAGACAGAGUCUUGC
rnacentral:lncRNA from 1 species